CGGAAAGGCCCAGCUUGCUGGGUACUCGAGUGGCGAACGGGUGAGUAACACGUGGGUGAUCUGCCCUGCACUCUGGGAUAAGCCUGGGAAACUGGGUCUAAUACCGGAUAUGACCAACUGUCGCAUGGUGGUUGGUGGAAAGCUUUUGCGGUGUGGGAUGGGCCCGCGGCCUAUCAGCUUGUUGGUGGGGUAAUGGCCUACCAAGGCGACGACGGGUAGCCGACCUGAGAGGGUGAUCGGCCACACUGGGACUGAGACACGGCCCAGACUCCUACGGGAGGCAGCAGUGGGGAAUAUUGCACAAUGGGCGCAAGCCUGAUGCAGCGACGCCGCGUGAGGGAUGACGGCCUUCGGGUUGUAAACCUCUUUCACCAGGGACGAAGCGGAAGUGACGGUACCUGGAGAAGAAGCACCGGCCAACUACGUGCCAGCAGCCGCGGUAAUACGUAGGGUGCGAGCGUUGUCCGGAAUUACUGGGCGUAAAGAGCUCGUAGGCGGUUUGUCGCGUCGUCUGUGAAAUUCUGCAACUCAAUUGCAGGCGUGCAGGCGAUACGGGCAGACUUGAGUACUACAGGGGAGACUGGAAUUCCUGGUGUAGCGGUGAAAUGCGCAGAUAUCAGGAGGAACACCGGUGGCGAAGGCGGGUCUCUGGGUAGUAACUGACGCUGAGGAGCGAAAGCGUGGGUAGCGAACAGGAUUAGAUACCCUGGUAGUCCACGCCGUAAACGGUGGGUACUAGGUGUGGGUUC
rnacentral:rRNA from 1 species